rnacentral:misc_RNA from 1 species
GGCAUGGUGGUGGAGGCGGUGGGGGUAGCGGAGGUGGGGGUGGAAUCGGUGCCGGAGGGGCGCAUGGUGGAGGGUUUGGCGAAGGUGGUGGCUCAGGGGCAGGUGGUGGGUAUGGUGCUGGAGGGGCUGGUGGCGGUGGCGGGGGUGGAAGCGGUGGAGGAGGUGGAUAUGCCUCUGGUGGUGAGCACGGUGGUGGCUACGGAAGUGGCGGGGGCGCUGGUGGCGGUGAA